UCCAAGAAAAUUCUCGCUAAUACAAAUAUCAAUGAAAAUGUAAUUUAUGUCAUAAUUUAUUUGUCUCCAAUAAUUUCAAAAAUUUUGACACCCAUAUGACAAAUUUCUACAAUUAAGCCACCCCAACAUUUGGGAAAAAUUUUCCAAUAAUUCAAAUAUCAACAAAAACCCAAUUUAUAUCAUCAUUUUAUUUAUUUUUAAAAGCAUUAAUAAUUUUAAUAAUCAAUACAACACUUUUCCACAAUUAAGCCACCACAACAUUCUAGGAAAAUUUUCCAAUAAUUCAAAUAUUAACAAAACAUAAUUAUACCUUAAAUUUUCUUAUCUCCAACAACAUCAAUAAUUCUUAGUACUCAAUACAACUAUUUUUAUUUUUUCAUAUUUAAUCUUCUCAAACAUUACCAAAAUUCCAAGAAAAAUCUAUAAAUCACGAAAUAAAAUUAUUCACAAUAAUAAUCACACUUCAAAUACUAAAAAUAACAUCUAUUAUAUUUCAACAACACAAUAUAUAAAUUUUUUUCAAAGAAAAUAUUAAAUCAAAGUUUUAGGGUUAAAUCACCCUACCUUAAAUUUGAAAAAUUUAACCAUUAAAACUAAAACAGGACACCGUAGGAGUGUUCCUCACAUUGAAUAGAAUAUCUGUAGACCCUCAAUUUUGUCCCUUUAGCACAUGUCUUUAAGUUCGUUUUCAGUGUUCCACAGUAGUUCCUUGGUGGCCCAUUGCUACUCAUACUACUUACCCUUUUUUGAGUCACCUCGGAGACUUUGGUUGAGGGAUUAUCUUACCCCUUAUUGUGACCCUUGGCAGCCCUAACUUAGACUUAGGCUUUUCUUGCUUUUUUUUUUUUCGGGAUAGCUUUUAGAUACACUUGACCCAUUAGGCACCACCCUAGGCCCACUUAGAUUCACCUAGGCUCAUUCAGGCACAUCUAGGCCCAUUUAGGUUCACUAGAUCCACUUAGGUAUCUUAGCCCUCCCAUGUCACCGUUGCGGUAAUUCCUACAUGACUUACAUAAUUUGCAUUUUUUUAACACUUGUAUGUACUUGAUUUCCUAUUCAUUUAUUUAUCUACUUAUUUUAUUAACAUUUAGUUAGUUAUUUGUUUUAUUUAUUUAUUUUAUAGAAUAUUGCAUGAGAUUGAUGUCAUUAAUUGCGUAAACUGAUGUAUUAAUUUGUCUGUGUGUAGCUAUGAUAGAUAUAUUGUUUUUGAUUGCAUAUAUUUUUUUUAUUAGUUUUAAUUCUCAAUUUCAUGACCUCUACUGCUUUUAAUUCUUAUUUUAUUUUGGCAUGAGAUUUGAAUGCACACAUUGGAGAAGAUCUUUGACGUACACGGCUGCGUAUAGAAAGUGGGCACAUCACGGCUGAGGCACAUCCAGGAGUAUAUGGAAAGAAGAUUAAAGAGAAUCUAAUUACUUACCAAAUGAGAGAGGGGCUGCAUCCUUGGAAAAUCUCCAAGUAAGCUGCACAUAUGUAGACUUCCCAUAUCCACGCGUAUAACAAAAAAAGGAAGUAAAAUAUUCUACAAGAGUGGGCUGCCAUAUAAAAAAAAGUGGGGAGAAAAAAAGGAUAGGAGGAUUUCGGAAGGAAGGAGGAAGAAGGAGUGACCGGGCAAAAGAGGAUUUUUAUCUGGGGAAUUGUCUUUAGAGGUGAGAGGAAAGCCGGAAGCCCAGCGAUUGCAGGCAAGGCUGCCCAAAAUUUAAAAUCCAUUGGGUUUGGAGGAGAGGCACAGAGGAGAGGGGACUUUCAGCACGCAUUGAGAACGGAGUGGAAUCAGAAAAGAGAAGCAAUCUUUGCUUCUUCAGAAAAGUUCUAAGGGAAUGGAUACUUCAACACGUUCUACGGUGGAUUACAAGUUUGGUUCCCCUUUAGGGAAUGCAUGUCCAAGACAGGGGAGAGCAAAAUUUUGUGUUUAUGACAUCCCAGGAGCAGUCGGGAUGGCUAAGACCUUGUUGAUGGAUCUCAGUUGCUGUUCUAAAUAAUCCGAAUUCAAGCCUGUGGAAUUUAAGCAGUGUUAUUGAGAGUUUGAGACUAUGGAACAACUACAGCUGAUCCAGCUUAUUUUGCAUCAUUUUGCUCUAACGUCAACUUGAAUCCAAGGCUUCCUCCACCUCUUAUUUAACGGGAGAAUCAAUGCCUGUUCCCUAUCCACUGACAAAGAGGAGUCUGACGACGAUAGGCCAUCCCGAAAAAUCUCAGAUGAUUGACCAGAAAGCAGCAGUGCAGUUAUGCCCAGACAGAGGACAGUUUCUUCAGCAGAUCGUCAUAAAAGUUUAGUUGAUCUGAUACAAAAGGACUUCCCCCGCACCUCAUCACUUGCAUAUAAUCAGUUUCCUUCCUCAAGCUAUGCAGCAAUGGAGGAACUAUUUAAUCGCAUUACCUCUACCUAAAGAUCCCUCAAGGAAUGAGCCAUCCUUAUAAUGACAUGGAAAAGCUUCCCCAUGCACUCCCCAAGUUCUCUUCAGUUAAGGUACAAUCUAUGAUGCAGUCUCCUAGGUUCACCCCUCCUUUGUAUGCAACAGCAGCAACGUAUAUUGCUUCAAGAAGUCCAUUUUAUCCUAAUUUGCAGUCAGUGAUGGAUCCUCAUUCGCAACUGUUAAUCUAAUAUCAGAGGGGAAGCCUAUUAUCCUUAGUCAUGCAGGAAUUGAAGAUUGCAUUGGCCUUCCCCCAAAGCUGCAAUUCCCCCUUUUAUCACAGAACUUGAAUUUGGAUGGAAUUCCAAAAUUUGACUUUUUCUCUGUUUAUGCCUUUUAAAGGUCAUUCAGCACAUUGUUAUAUUUAAGCCCCUUUGAGUUGGAAGAUUUUGUGGAAGCAUUAAGAUGCAAUUUUUUUCUAACCCUUUGUUUGAUUAUGUCCAUAUUUCUUUAUUACAAACUUUGAGAAAGCAUUUGGAAUUUCUAUCAGAUGAAGGUUCCUAAUCUGAUUUUAAUUGUUCAAGGUGUCUUAAUUGAGGUUUGUUGGAUUCAGUUCGUGGUUAGUUUUCAUGGCUGAUUCCCUACUGAUUCAUGGUUCAGGUUCGAAACCUGGUUUUGAUUUUAGUUGAUUGAAGCUAUUUGACAAUAACCACUGCAAACGACCUGUGGCCGUAAAGUUUGAGAUAUUUCGAUGUCUGUGUGAUGAUGUGAUUGCAGUGGAAGCGCUAAGAUCAGAGCUCAAUAGAAGAUCAUUGGCAGCUGAGCCUGAUAAGGAAUUCAAUCAGAAUGUUUACAUUGAGAUUUGCAAGAAAAGGAAGGCCUGAUGUUAAAACGGAAUGGAUAUCGGAAGACCUGUCACUAAGACAUUUGGCUUUAUCAUUUGUUGGUGAAUCUAUCAUAUAUCCAGAAAUAAACUUACUCAUAGAUGAACUAUGUUAUAAGGCAGACUCGUACCCUUUCUAUGACAAGUGCACAAUUUCCUAAGAAGAUUAGAGAACUACAAUCUGUUACUCAGUCUUACGUCAGUAUAGAUGCUACAACAAAGGACAAAGCUGCCGCCUUGGCUGCUGCUCGCGGUCUUGGACGCAAUGCAAAGAUUGAGUCUGUAAGGCUGCCAAUGUUGACAGUUCUUAAGCUUCAUAGUUGUGAGGGCAUAACUUCAGCUUCCAUGGCUGCAAUAUCGCAUGGUUAUAUGUUGAAGGUAACAACAAGUAGCGUUGAGAUUGGAUCAGGGGAAACUGCAUGGGAGGCGGAUGUUUCUGUCAGCUGUUGCACAGAAAUUGAUAAGACAACUGAAAAUUCAGUGGCGCCUGGGAUCCAUAAAUGUCGAAACUAUCCUAUCCAACCAAACCAAGUAUUCUGAUCUUCUAGCACGCUCCUGCCAUGAAGCUCACUGUCAAGACCUUGAAGGGAAGCACAGCAACAGCGAAAGCAACAUCUUCUACAACCGAGAAUACACAUGGUUUCAUGGCUCCUCCCAAGCCUCACAAAAUUCUAAUGGUGGCUAAGAAGCCCAACAGUGCUCUUUCUAUUGCCUCGGCUCUCUCUAGUGGUCAUAUGUCUACUAGGUGUAGUAGUACAGAAGUCCAUGAAUUUAAUGGAACCUUUCGUGGAUCUAAUGCACAAUAUAAGGUAACAACAGACAAGAAAGCUCCAAAGUUGUUGAAUUAAACAAAGAGCAGUCCAUGUUUAUCAGACUUUGAUGGUCAGAAUUGCUCCUCUGCUUCAAACUGCAUAAUCAUAGAAAACUCAGAUAUAGGCUCGGGGAGUUGUGGACCUGCAAUUGAAAAGAGUACAGGGGACCUAGUUAUGGGAAGAAAAUAUUCAUGUACAUCUAUGACAAUGUCUCUCAGAGAUACAGAUAUGUCUUCACACAAUGUCAAUCGUAUAGAGUCCAGCAUUUAUCUAAAUCCUGAUGUUGUAUAUGAAACUAGUGAGGAUUAUGCAGCUAUGCAGCCCAAUAUCAGUGUAGAUGGCUCCCUUCUUUUCGAUUUUUCAAGUCAAUAUGUGCCUGACUGUUUUGAUCUUCAAUUUAUGCCGAGCAGUGAAGAAAUACUGACCAACAUGAAGGAUGAAAAUGAGAAGCUUUCGAACAGAGAAUACAUGCUUAAGCAGUAAGAUGAAUUUAUCUCAAGAUGCAAUAACAAUGAUGCUGUCAAGGCAAUGGAAAUUCAUCGAAAAACAGAGAAUGCCUCAGUUUUCGAGUCUGAGAAGCUUGGUGUUGCUAUUUCUUGGGAGACAUUUCAGUGAUAAAGUAGAGCAUGCACCGAUUAAGAAAAGGAGCUUUAUAUUUCAGUCUUCAUUACCACCCCCAUGAACUCCUUCUCCUCCCUAUGAGGAUUCAGAACAGCUUGUAGAUAGUCAACAUUCUUCCGAGACGACAAAUGAAGAGAUUGGCGAUGGUAAAGACUUCUCUGGUAUUGAGAUGUUCGCAGCAGCUGCUUGCAAUAACAGCAUAGGUGAUGAUGUGACGGAAUCAACUACAGAGGAUGGUCCAGUUAUGACAUAUAAAGGAAACAACUCAUCUAUUUCUGCAAUGCCUAUAAAAGAAACUAUGCUGUUGUCUGUGUUGCUAUUACGGUUGAUAACCAGGAUGGUACUAAAGGGGAUAUUUGUAUUGAUAAAAGCAAAACUGCUGGUCUGAUUAAUAAUGAGGAGAAACAAGAAACAGAAACCAAACCAGAAGUUGAUCCUAAAGCCACGAGGAAUGAGCCUAUUACAAAGAUAGUUGCUGAUGGAGUACAAUCUGUGUAUAAUGGGAAAGAAGCUAUUGGCAAUGAAGAUCAGGUAGUGGAAAAUGGUGUUGAAUCUACCAUAAGGAAUCCAACACUUGAGUCGGAAUAGUCAGAAAACAAUCUUACACAUGUUAAUGCGCAGGGCGCUGAAUCGGGAAAUGUGGUCUCCUUUAUCAGUUCCUCUGCUUCCAUAAUCAGGAAAAAUAGUACUAAAAAUUCAGAAAAGAACCCUCCAUUUGAAGGACAUGCAAGGCCGAAGUGUUGAAUUAAUUCUAUGGAGAAAUUUCUAUAAUGCGGAAGGACAAAGGCUGCAAAAUAUGUGGGUAUUUCCUGUUCUGGUUGUGAAAUCUGCUAGAAUCAAUGCUUUCAAUGGGAAAGCAGUGGGGACUAUUUCUACCAGCUAGCUAUUCGAAGAUCCAAAAUAUGUUAGGCUUCUUGCAGCUCUCACUCUUGGUCACCUCCCUCAAUAUGAAGGAUUCGCUAGAGCUAGUGGUUUUGUAUCAGCAUGUCGUGCACUGAUAAGCCUGCUUGAAGACCAACCAACAAAAGAAACGAAAUCCAUUACCUAUCAGAAAGACCUGUCUCAAAUCCGUCCAACAGAAGCUGAAUCGGUUGAAACUCGAAUCAUCAUACUUUUCUCCUCUGUUGUGGCUCUCAAGAGGUCUUUAUUUGACACUGGAAGCAAUCCCACUUCUGAAUUUGUAGUUAAGCCCUUUGCUGAGAGAGAAGUGAUUUCUUUUGGUUUGAUUGCACACCUUGAAAGUCAGUGUUUCAGCUGGAGUUAUUAACUCCUGAGCUGCCGAGUGUGAAGGAUGAAACCCACAGAUUUACAAAAAAACUGGGGGCACUUAUUUAACAGCUUGUGAGAGGAGUAAGCGAUCAUAAGAAUCUGAACUCCUCUUGGAGAUGUUUCUCAGGACCAGAAGCUACCCCACUUCCAGCUAUAUUUAUUGGUGAAAAUCUUGAGUCACCCAAUUGCCUACGGAUAGGCAUCCUUGCUUACAGGUAAUCCUGAACAUGGUGUGCAGCUGAAUUAAUAAUCCGUCAUCUGACAAGUCUUGGAGAUGUUCCCUGCUGCUGUUGUGUUCAGAAAGGUCAGAGUGCACAAAGAAGCUUGCUGAAAGUAUCUCAAACAUGCUACAACAAAACAAUCUGUAUACGAAUUUUGAUCAACCUCGGAAAAUGCCAGAAGAGGGCAGAAUGCGUUUUUGGGAUUCAAUGUCAGUGUCACAGCCUCAAUCACACCUCCAGACUCCACCCACAUAAUUGCCACCUUGCCACAUAUCAUACUCCUAAUGUUUUUUUUCCUUUAUUUUGUGAUUAUAUACAUCUUAAAUAUGAAUUUCAAAAUAUUUUUC